rnacentral:rRNA from 1 species
CUUGAUAGUGCAGCACUAAGUGGGUGGUAAACUCCAUCUAAAACUAAAUAUAACCAUGAGACCGAUAGCAAACAAGUACCGUGAGGGAAAGUUGAAAAGAACUCUGAAUAGAGAGUUAAAUAGUACGUGAAACUGCUUAGAGGUUAAGCCCGAUGAACCUGAAUAUCCGUUGUAGAAAAUUCAUCAUCAAUUCUGUGAUAUUUUUUAAAUAUUGUAUGAAUGGUGUGCACUUUUUCUACUUAAGGACAUUGUAAUCUGUUAAUGUUUGAAUGCGUAUUAUAAGAACAUUUACACUAGUUUUUACAUUAUUUGAUUUAUUAAAUAUGUUUAAAUGUAGAUGCUUCGAAUAUGCCAUUGACAGAUUUUUACAUAUAUUGCACUUAAAUCUUUUGAUUUUAUAAUAAUAUGAUUAUCAUUGAUUUUUGUAUUUAUUAUAUGUGCAUAUAUGAUUGACAAUGCGAAAGAUUCAGGAUACCUUCGGGACCCGUCUUGAAACACGGACCAAGA